rnacentral:rRNA from 1 species
AUUGAACGCUGGCGGCAGGCUUAACACAUGCAAGUCGAGCGAGCGGCGGACGGGUGAGUAAUGUCUGGGAAACUGCCUGAUGGAGGGGGAUAACUACUGGAAACGGUAGCUAAUACCGCAUACCAUCAGAUGUGCCCAGCUGGGAUUAGCUAGUAGGUGGGGUAAUGGCUCACCUAGGCGACGAUCCCUAGCUGGCCUGAGAGGAUGACCACCGAAACUGGACCGAAGACACGGUCCAGACUCCGACGGGAGGCAGCAGUGGGGAAUAUGGCACAAUGGGCGCAAGCCUGAUGCAGCCAGGCCGCGUGUGUGAAGAGGGCCUUCGGGUUGUAAAGCACUUUCAGCGAGGAGGCGUUACUCGCAGAAGAAGCACCGGCUAACUCCGUGCCAGCAGCCGCGGUAAUAC